rnacentral:rRNA from 1 species
ACAUGUCCUUUUGUUUAUUUAUUUAAGGUCUGACCUGCCCAAUGAUUAGUUUAAUGGCCGCAGUAUAUUAACUGUGCUAAGGUAGCAUAAUCAAUUGUCUUUUAAUUGAAGGCUGGAAUGAAGGGUUGUAUGAAAUGUCUUCUUUCUUCUUAUUUAUAAUUUAAAUUUAAUUUGUUAGUUAAAAAGCUGACAUGUUAUUAAGGGACGAGAAGACCCUAUAGAUCUUUACAUAUAUUUGUUAUAUUGUAUUUUUGUGUAUAUUAUACAUUAAAAUACUGAUAUGUUUAGUUGGGGUGACUUAAGAACUUAAUUUAUUUCUUUAUAGUUUAUUUUCAUUGAUUUAUGUUUAUUUGAUCUCUUGUUGAGGACUAAAAGACUAAGUUACCUUAGGGAUAACAGCGUAAUUUUUCCGGAGAGUUCCUAUUGAUGGAAUAGUUUGCGACCUCGAUGUUGGAUUAAAAUUAGUAAUGGGUGUAGCAGCUC